UACGUAGGUGGCAAGCGUUAUCCGGAUUUAUUGGGCGUAAAGGGAACGCAGGCGGUCUUUUAAGUCUGAUGUGAAAGCCUUCGGCUUAACCGGAGUAGUGCACUGGAAACUGGGAGACUUGAGUGCAGAAGAGGAGAGUGGAACUCCAUGUGUAGCGGUGAAAUGCGUAGAUAUAUGGAAGAACACCAGUGGCGAAAGCGGCUCUCUGGUCUGUAACUGACACUGAGGCUCGAAAGCGUGGGUAGCAAACAGG
rnacentral:rRNA from 1 species